rnacentral:rRNA from 1 species
UGCGCAGGCGGGCUAAUAAGUCAGUGGUGAAAUCUUUCGGCUUAACCGGGAAACUGCCAUUGAUACUGUUAGUCUUGAGUUCGGUUGAGGUAGGCGGAAUGUGUAAUGUAGCAGUGAAAUGCUUAGAUAUUACACAGAACACCAAUUGCGUAGGCAGCUUACUAGACCGACACUGACGCUGAGGCACGAAAGCGUGGGGAGCGAACAGGAUUAGAUACCCUGGUAGUCC